UGGGGGAUAUUGCACAAUGGGCGCAAGCCUGAUGCAGCGACGCCGCGUGGGGGAUGAAGGCCUUCGGGUUGUAAACUUCUUUUGCUCUGAACAAGGCGCACUUUGGGGUGUGUUGAGUGUAGGGGUUGAUUAGCGCCGGCUAACUACGUGCCAGCAGCCGCGGUAAUACGUAGGGCGCGAGCGUUUUCCGGAAUUAUUGGGCGUAAAGGGCUUGUAGGUGGCUGGUUGCGUCUGUCGUGAAAGCUCAUGGCUUAACUGUGGGUUUGCGGUGGGUACGGGCUGGCUUGAGUGCAGUAGGGGAGGCUGGAAUUCCUGGUGUAGCGGUGGAAUGCGCAGAUAUCAGGAGGAAUACCGGUGGCGAAGGCGGGUCUCUGGGCUGUUACUGACACUGAGGAGCGAAAGCAUGGGGAGCGAACAGG
rnacentral:rRNA from 1 species